CCUACGGGAGGCAGCAGUGGGGAAUAUUGCACAAUGGGGGAAACCCUGAUGCAGCAACGCCGCGUGAAGGAAGACGGUUUUCGGAUUGUAAACUUCUGUUCUUAGGGAAGAAUAAUGACGGUAGCGAAGGAGCAAGCCACGGCUAACUACGUGCCAGCAGCCGCGGUAAUACGUAGGUGGCAAGCGUUGUCCGGAAUUACUGGGUGUAAAGGGAGCGCAGGCGGGAAGCCAAGUCAGCUGUGAAAACUACGGGCUUAACUUGUAGACUGCAGUUGAAACUGGUGUUCUAGAGUGAAGUAGAGGUUGGCGGAAUUCCGAGUGUAGCGGUGAAAUGCGUAGAUAUUCGGAGGAACACCGGUGGCGAAGGCGGCCAACUGGGCUUUAACUGACGCUGAGGCUCGAAAGUGUGGGGAGCAAACAGGAUUAGAUACCCUAGUAGUC
rnacentral:rRNA from 1 species